rnacentral:rRNA from 1 species
UACGUAGGGGGGCUAGCGUUGUCCGGAAUCAUUGGGCGUAAAGAGCGUGUAGGCGGCCCGGUAAGUCCGCUGUGAAAGUCGGGGGGCUCAACCCUCGAAUGCCGGUGGAUACUGUCGGGCUAGAGUGCGGAAGAGGCGAGUGGAAUUCCUGGUGUAGCGGUGAAAUGCGCAGAUAUCAGGAGGAACACCGAUUGCGAAGGCAGCUCGCUGGGACGUCACUGACGCUGAGACGCGAAAGCGUGAGGAGCAAACAGG